GACAUGCAUAUAAUGGUCCUACAACUUAUGCUGUGACCUGUAUUUAUAGUCAUUCAAACAACCCUAACACAAUGUUUUCUAAUCAUAAAAGGACUUCAGACAUGCCUAUAAUGGAUCUACAACUUAGGCCAGCUGUUGGAAGUAAAGCUGUUGGAAGUAUAGCUGUUAUAAAAAGCUGUUUGCUGUUUGGUAACUACAUUUGUAAAGUGCUGUGGUACUUUGUUUUGUGUUUGGUAAACAAACUGAGAAAGUACUUUUAUAUGAUAAAAUUACCAUAAAGGACAUUGCAUAGUAUUAUACAACAGAAUAUAAUAAAACAUAACAUAAAUUAAUACAUAAAUAUACGAUAUAGUAUAAUAUUAUUGUAAUAUAAAAUAAUAUUAUGUUAAUAUAGCAUAGUAGUAAUAUAAUUAUUAGAGUAAAUUAAUAUUUGGUAAUAUAACAUAAUAUUAAAUUAUUUUACAUAACAUAUUAAUGUAUUAUGAUAUAAUGUAAUAUAUAUUAUAUUUAUAGUAUAAUACAAUAAUAAAAGUAUAAAAUAUUAUAAUUAUUAGUACAAAUUAAUUUUUCAUAAUAUAACAUAAUAUUAAAUUAUUUAAAAUAACAUAUUAAUGUAUUAUAAUGUAAUGUAAUAUAAUAUAAUAUUUAUAGUAUAAUGCAAUAAUAAAGGUAUAAAAUAUUAUAAUUAUUAGUAUAAAUGAGCAGUACCUUUCCAUCCAACACAAACAAAAGUGAAAUGCAUGUCAAAAUCACAACAAAUACCUUUUCUAAAAUGUGGUUCAAGAGAUGCAUACAACAAUUGAAAAGAAAAAUAUCUUUUCUUACGGAAGGGAGUCUGACGGCUAGGGUUCUUGGCUCCAGCAGAUUUUUAGGUUUAUAAAGGGACAAACUAUGUAAUUAUUAUAUUUUAAUAUAGGCAUUUUUGUCAAAAAUAUAGCUUUCCGAAAAAGCUGAAACAGCUUCCUCCCAAAAGCUCCAAAUUGAAGCUUCCUCCCAAAAGCUGUUUUCAGCUUCUCGCAAAAGCUGAAACAGCUUUUUGAAAAAUUUACCAAACACAGUUUUUCAUCUAAAAGUACUUUUAGACUUUCUGGCCCUCCAAAAGCUCCCCCAAACAGGGCCUUACACUGUGACUCAAAAUUGGACUCGUAUUCAACCAAAAUCUCUAUUGUAUCAAAUUGGUUCACCUUUCCAACAAAAAUAUCAAAGACUUUUAGGAGAGAGUAAAUUCGAAACUCCAUUGAGUUCCACAUAAAAGACCAAAAAUCUUUCCAAAUCACAAUUCUAAAGAGUUUAAAACUUUCCUAACCUACCUAGACCUAAGGUAGGACUUUUAGAUGACAUUAUAUACUCAUAAUAAGACUCAAAGAUCCACUAGAAAAAUAGCUCUGAAAAAAUUGGUACAAAAUUGCGAGAAAAUAAAAUACUUAACUAACUUUUUAAGACUCCAUAAAACUAGAAUAUAACUAAGCCUAAUUUAGACCUAAACUACAUCGUCCGUCCUUCGGACUAAGGUUUUUCUUGCUUGGUGCAAAUGCUAGGAUGUAUGUGCAUACAGGUUCUGGAAGUCAUUUGCCAUAUUUUGUAUAUCAAAGCACACUUUGAUGAAUUGGAUGCUCACCUACAAAUUCUAGCAAUAUGCACAGUUCCACAAAUUAUUGCACUGUUCAGCCGGUCGGAUGGGCAAGUUUUGUUGUGAAGCUUCCCCCUUGAGUAAUGAAGUUAUUCAUUUUAAAUGCAUUGUCUUAUGCUGUCUGAUUUUGGUUGUGAUCUUCAGGAU
rnacentral:lncRNA from 1 species